UGGGUAUAGCUCAGGGGUAAAGUAUGUGCUUAGUAUACAUGAGGCCCUUGGUUUGAUUCCUAGCACCACAA
rnacentral:tRNA from 1 species